UCUGUUGCUCACUUGGUUUGUCGUCCUGUGCUUUGGAGGGGGUGCGUCACUCUGCAUGACUCAUCUUCCUCCCUGAGUCUGCUAUGCUGUGCUGAGUCUCUUCACUGCAGGCUGCUCUUUAACCCCCUACUCUCUGUUUUCAUGUUGUAGUCUGAUAAGACAAAAGUGAGCACAGAAAAAUGUUAGUCCAGCCCUCACUUCCUGGACUUUGCCCCAGCCUGUGCUUCAGCUAGGACAAAGAUGAUCCUGCAGCCGGACAGGAUUAUGUUCUAGAUCAGUGAUGACGAACCUUUUUGAGCGUUCUGCAGAGAGGAGUAGUAGCUGGAAAAAAUCCUCAUGACGGUCUGGGACGGAUGGAGAAGAAAAAGGAAAGUGACCGAUUCCAAUCAGAAAAGACAUCACCUGAUGUUACUCGAUGGGUUUCAAGGUUAGCCAAUUACAGUUUCACCAUCAAGUACAGAAGCAGCAAGUCAAAUUGCAAUGCCAAUGUACUGUCUCAGAUGACCCCUGGCAAAGAACCACCUGUCGAUGACGUGUAAGAAGACGUGGAGAUGCCCCCAUUUUAUCAACGGUUCGUGAACCAGAGUGUUGUGACCGCCCUAUUUGAAGUUCUCCACAAGUGUCCUUGGCUUUUGGACAUCUCUUCUGAUUAUUCUUUUCUCUCUCUGUCAGAAAUCUUGUGAGGAGCACCUACCUGAUCGAGGUAAAUUUAUGGUGAAAUUAUUGUCCUUCCAUUUCUGUAUUAUGGCCCCAGCAGAGCUCACUGGAACAUUGAGAAGCUUAGAAAUGUGCCUGUAACCAAUGUCAUUGUUAUGUUUUGUAACAAUUAGGUUGUGAAGGUCUGGAGACAGCUCUUUGCUUUUACCCAUCAUGAGAUGUGUCUUGUGUGAAACCUCGGCAAUGAGACCUUUUUGUAGCCUUCAGUUGGGACUGAACCAGCUGAUAUUAAUUUGCACUGACAGGGGGCUUGAUUGCUUUUUAAUUACU